rfam:Claviceps purpurea 20.1, WGS project CAGA01000000 data, contig: scaffold00012
NNACACGACCAUAGGUGGUAGAGAACUCGGGAUCCCGUCCGCUCUCCCAUAGAUAAGCUACCAACCGGCAGAUUAGUAGUUGGGUCGGUGACGACCAGCGAACAACAGCCGGCGGCUGUU